rnacentral:rRNA from 1 species
UACGUAGGGCGCAAGCGUUAUCCGGAAUUAUUGGGCGUAAGAGCUCGUAGGCGGUUUGUCGCGUCUGCCGUGAAAGUCCGGGGCUCAACUCCGGAUCUGCGGUGGGUACGGGCAGACUAGAGUGAUGUAGGGGAGACUGGAAUUCCUGGUGUAGCGGUGAAAUGCGCAGAUAUCAGGAGGAACACCGAUGGCGAAGGCAGGUCUCUGGGCAUUAACUGACGCUGAGGCGCGAAAGCGUGGGGAGCAAACAGG